CUGCCCAGUGAUCAAUGACAUGAUUUAACGGCCGCGGUACCCUAACCGUGCAAAGGUAGCAUAAUCAUUUGCCCUAUAAUUGAGGGCUUGUAUGAAUGGUUUGACAAGAACAAUACUGUCUCUUAAAAAUUUACUAAAAUUUGGUUUUUAGGUGAAGAAACCUAAAUAAAAUUGAAAGACAAGAAGACCCUAUCGAGCUUAAAAAAUACGUUAACUAUAUAGAAAACAAACUAACGAAAAAAUUUGGUUGGGGCGACUAAGGAACAAAUAAAGCUUCCUUUAAUAUAAAAAACUUAUAUGUAUUGAUCCAAAAUAUUUGAUUAAAAAAAUUAGUUACCGUAGGGAUAACAGCAUAAUCUUUUUAGAGAGAACAUAUCGAAAAAAAGGUUUGUGACCUCGAUGUUGGACUAGGAUAUCCUAAUAGAUUGCAGAAGUCUUUAAAGG
rnacentral:rRNA from 1 species